AUUUUGCUUCAUUUGUUGCACUUCCUCCAGCUUGUUUUUAACACAGAUUCGAUGUUCUUUAGAAGCUCAGGUGUCAAAGAGGACUUCAUGUGACACCGUCAUACAUGAUUCCAGGUUGUAAAAUUUCAGUCCAAAUAAAGUUUCAGCGUGUGAUAAAUGAUGAAAGAAAGUCAUACGCAUCUGGGAUGGCAUGAGGAGCGCAGUAGUACACAGCAGAGUCAGACACAUGCAG